rnacentral:rRNA from 1 species
GUGGACGCCAGUCUGCAUGGAGCCGUCCUUGAAAUACCACCCUUUAAUGGCUGGUGUUCUAACGUAGACCCGUGAUCCGGGUUGCGGACAGUGUCUGGUGGGUAGUUUGACUGGGGCGGUCUCCUCCCAAAGAGUAACGGAGGAGCACGAAGGUUGGCUAAUCCUGGUCGGACAUCAGGAGGUUAGUGCAAUGGCAUAAGCCAGCUUGACUGCGAGCGUGACGGCGCGAGCAGGUGCGAAAGCAGGUCAUAGUGAUCCGGUGGUUCUGAAUGGAAGGGCCAUCGCUCAACGGAUAAAAGGUACUCCGGGGAUAACAGGCUGAUACCGCCCAAGAGUUCAUAUCGACGGCGGUGUUUGGCACCUCGAUGUCGGCUCAUCACAUCCUGGGGCUGAAGUAGGUCCCAAGGGUAUGGCUGUUCGCCAUUUAAAGUGGUACGCGAGCUGGGUUUAGAACGUCGUGAGACAGUUCGGUCCCUAUCUGCCGUGGGCGCUGGAGAAUUGAGGGGGGCUGCUCCUAGUACGAGAGGACCGGAGUGGACGCAUCACUGGUGUUCGGGUUGUCAUGCCAAUGGCACUGCCCGGUAGCUAAAUGCGGAAGAGAUAAGUGCUGAAAGCAUCUAAGCACGAAACUUGCCCC